AUACGUAGGUGGCAAGCGUUGUCCGGAAUUAUUGGGCGUAAAGGGCUCGCAGGCGGUUUCUUAAGUCUGAUGUGAAAGCCCCCGGCUCAACCGGGGAGGGUCAUUGGAAACUGGGAAACUUGAGUGCAGAAGAGGAGAGCGGAAUUCCACGUGUAGCGGUGAAAUGCGUAGAGAUGUGGAGGAACACCAGUGGCGAAGGCGACUCUCUGGUCUGUAACUGACGCUGAGGAGCGAAAGCGUGGGGAGCGAACAGGAUUAGAUACCCUGGUAGUCCACGCCGUAAACGAUGAGUGCUAAGUGUUAGGGGGUUUCCGCCCCUUAGUGCUGCAGCUAACGCAUUAAGCACUCCGACUGGGGAGUACGGUCGCAAGACUGAA
rnacentral:rRNA from 1 species